ensembl:lncRNA
CGCAGGCGGGGCGAGGCAGCCCGCCGGCGGGAGGCGCGGGGUCGCCUCGCUGGCUGGCGUGAGGUGGGGCCACUCCGGGUGCCCCCGGAUGUCCCCGGGCUGCCCUGUCGCGCGGCGGACCCGCAGGGCUCUCCGUGCUCCCGGCCUUCCCCGCGGCUGCCUUUCGAGCGAAGCCUGUUCAGCUGAAGAACGGGAAAGGCCCGGGCGUUACGUAAGGGCCUCCCCGCGGGCGAGACCGGGACCUGAAGCGACCGCGGCGACUUCUGUGAUCGCCGGGUCCCCCAGCCCCCACCCCCCCGCGUCCCGCCACAGACCUGUCGAGGACGAAGUGCGGAAAUUUCCACUAAUUUCCUCAGUGGAGCGGCUCGUGUCGUUUUUGUGGUUGCUAAACGAAAAGCUGUUUUCCUGCUCUGCAGAGCUGCUUGAGUUGAUCAGUGAGUAGGAUCACUUAAAUGGAGUCACCGGCCUAAUAUCUGCUGAGGAACCAGUGCAUAGAUUCCUUCUUAGAGGUCUUUAUGCCCCCUUCAGAAACCAAGUCCUCUUCAAAGCCAGGACUGUAAACUUGAGCUUCUCACCAGUCCCGGUAGGUGGUCCUUAAAUCGGGCUGGGCUGAAGGUUCUUAAACGAGGAAAAGUGCUUUCCUCUGCUGAUGCCACACAUUUCUGCUUAGCAAGUUCUUAUGCGCAAAGCGCGUGAAAAAUUACUGGUAACGCAGGACAGAUCGAGUUCCGCACGAGACAGCUAAGGGAACACUAGUAAAAGGUCGUGCCGCGCGCGCUCCAGCAUCGCCCCGGAUUCGUUCAGACUAAAAAGUGACUGCAGGGCUACCGUGUUUUGUGCUAGAGUCAGUGAUCCUAAUAUUUGUGGUCGCUACAUCUUUUUUGUUUGUUUGCUAAAUGUUCUAUAGUUGGGCCGGGGAUUUAGCUCAGUGGUUCCGCCGCCUGCCUCACAAGCGCAAGAUCCCGAGUUCAAUCCCCGGUACCAAAAAAAAAAUUUUUUAAUUAAAUAUUGCAUAGUAAUGGAUCCGCACAAGGUCUUCGUGGGGUCUAAAGUACGGUAUGUCAAGUAAAAUAAAGCAACAAGAUAACGGAGGCCAAGCAUUUAGAGCAGUUUAUAUACUCGGAAGCUUGGCAAAUGGGAAGUUUCAAACGUCAAGUGUUGACUGUCUUCUGCUUUGACGCCUGUGUCAUAGUACUCAGGCCAGACGUGGGAGUACACUGAAGCUGAAGCAGGAGGGUCACAGUGAGUUCGAGACAAGCCUGGGCUACGUAGCAAGACUCUGUCUCCAAAAAGCCCCAAAAUAAUAAUGCUCAGAUCACACUAUGGGAUAAGUAGUUAUUCCCAUUGUGCAGAUGCAGACUCUCUGGCUUACUUAGGUAGGUGCUGCAGCUGAGACUAAAACGCAGGUCACCUGACACACUGCCGGAUUCUUUCCUGAGUAGCCCAGCUACUGUAGUAAAAAUGUGAUAAAUGCAAGGAGUGCUACCAAGCCAAAGGAGGAGGGAACCCAACCAAUAGAUUGUGAGAGGUUCCUCAGGCUGAGCUUUCACCAUGAUUCUCAGCAAGCAGAGUACCUGAAGGUUUCCUUGUAGAUUUCCUGAGCAGACCACGCCCUGCCCUUAGGGAAGUAGAGCCAUGGAUGGAAAUAACCAGGGUUCAGGCAGACAUUCCUGGAAAAGUCAGGUUGGUGCUUCCCUGGGAAAGGCACACCUCUGUAGUCCCAGCUACUUGAGAGGCUGAGGCAGGAGGAUCACUUGGCAAGAGGCCACUGCUGCCAUCCUCACUUUGACCCCAAAGUGUUUAGGACCAGCCUGGAGUACACAGCAAGAACCAGUCUCCUAAUAAAAUAAAAGAUAUACAAGGUGUUAGCUCAGUGGUAGAGCACUUGCAUAGCAUGCCCUAGGCCUUGGAUUUGAACCUCAGCAGUAGGAAAAAAUUUAAAUUUCUGUAUAUGUAUCUAUAUUAAGUACAUAUCCAUAAAUACAUAUAUAAGCCAGACUUGGUGGCACGCACCUGUGUGCCCAGCACUCUAGGAAAUUGAGGCAUGAUUGCAAGUUUAACCCCCGCCUUGGUAACUUGGUGAAUCGUGGUAGCAAGAACUUCUCUUGAAACAAAAGGGGUGGGGAUAUAGCUCAGUGGAGAAGCCUUAACUGUACACACACAGUAUAUAUGGUUAAAAACAAAGCUGGGGGACUUUGUAAUUUGGAUGAAUUCUCCCUUUGAGGAUAACUAGAAAGGUUGGACAAAGCAUUUCUGCAUUUGCUCAAAGUCCCAAGAGAGUGAAGGAAAUGUUGCCGCCGUCCCCGCUGGAGCCCACAGACCUGCUGAGCUGGGGAGCAAAGUCCUGUGUUGUGCGACAGACCCUUUGUCCCCAGGGCUGGGCACCGGGCACAAAGAUACUCUGAGACGCCCAAGGUUGAGCAGUUCCUCUCACAGCCUCAGAGCUAAGAGAAAAAAAAUCAAUGUCCAAGACUCCUCAGUGCAGCGAGGAGCCCCAGUGAACCCCUCUUUUGUGUAGAGCCCUGAAGGGCUAUAUCCCUGAAGCAGCCACCCCUUAAACAUAGCCUACUUUUCCCAAAAGCGGACCUGGAGACUAGCCUCUGGCUGUGAAUAGUCUGUCUAGAAAACGAUGCAGGGAGCUGGGCGUGGUGGUGCACACCUGUCAUCCCAUCACCAGAGGCCGAUGCAGGAGGAUCACAGUGAAUUCAAGGCCAGCCUGGACUACAGAGUGAGACCCUGACUCAAAACAACAGAAAGAAGAGAGAGAGAGAUGAAGAUAGCAGGAAGCACCACAUGGAAGUUAAGAAAGAAAUACAGGGAAUGGAGAAAACCCAAGAGCAGAUGUCUGUUUCUUGAUUGCAUCUCCUGUGACCUCCCCAUCGGUGUUCUCAGCUUUCUCUGUGUGAAGACGUGCUGUCCUCCUUCCUGGGUCUCCUGGUCCCUUCAGCAUGGCUGUGAGGUGCGACCCGACACAAAGAGGAAACAGCAUCGCCACUGCUUGUCAGGAUUGGCAAUAAACACUAGCUGUAACAUGGUGCACUUUUCUCCAGGAGCUGCUUGCAGUGAAUGACCUCAUAGUGAUCUGUAAAAUUGUAUAUUUUUGUCUAAUGAAGUAGUCAUUAAAAAUUCAAAGCCUCAAAUUCACAGCAAUCCUCCUGCCUCAGCCUCCUGAGUGCUGGAAUGACCACCACGCCUGGCUUCACUGUUUAUAUUUUAUGAGUCCAUGUCUGCAGUACAUGAUUGCAUUCCUCAUGGGGAGUUGGUCCACGCACGUAAUACAUCUGAAGUCCUUUUUCUUCCCUCUCUUCUCCCCCUCCAUCUCUUCCUAUGUGGGGAGUUGGUAUAUGCGCAGCAUAUCUUUUUGUUUUGUUUUGUUUUUUGUUUUUUUGAGACAGGAUCUUGCUAUUUGUUCUAGUUGGCCUUGAACUCACUGUGUAGCCCAGGCUGGCCUUGAACUCACAGCAAUCCUCCUGCCUCAGUCUCCUUAGUGCUGGGAUUAGAGGCAUGUGCUACCACUCCUGGCUCUCUCCCUGGGGAUUUGUUGCCCAAAACCUUGCUCAUUUUCCUAUUUUCCAGAGCAGAAUCUAACAAAAGUUGGAUUUUCCCCCUCUGGGCAGCCCUGAGUCUCUGAACCUCUCUCAGCCCCAUGCCCAGGCUCCUGCACUGUUUUCUAGUUUCUUCUGCAGAACCACAAAUUCAGAACACACAGGUGACAACUGUUGUCACCAUAUUACAGGGCUGCCAGCCCUAUAUCUUCCCACAUCUGCUUCCUGCUGACCAAUUCUGAACGACACAGCUUUUAGUGUUUUGUUCUUUAUUUACUUAGGGUUUUUUUAAGACAGGGUCUCAAUAUGUAGCCCAGGCUUGGCCUUGAACUCACAGCAGUUCUGCCUCAGGCUCUAAGUACUGGGGUUACACGUAUGUGCCACCACACCUGGCAUGAUUCUUUUUUUUAAACAGCACUUUUGGUACUAAUUUCGGUAUUUGUUGAG